UACGUAGGGUGCGAGCGUUACUCGGAAUUACUGGGCGUAAAGCGUGCGCAGGCGGUUCGUUGUGUCCGUCGUGAAAGCCCCGGGCUUAACCUGGGAACUGCGAUGGAAACUAGCGAGCUGGAGUGUGGCAGAGGGGGGUGGAAUUCCGCGUGUAGCAGUGAAAUGCGUAGAGAUGCGGAGGAACACCGAUGGCGAAGGCAGCCCCCUGGGCUAACACUGACGCUCAGGCACGAAAGCGUGGGGAGCAAACAGG
rnacentral:rRNA from 1 species